rnacentral:lncRNA from 13 species
CUCACUAGAACGCUGCUUUUUAGAACCCUACCCACCUCACUAGAACCUGCUUUUUAGAACCCUACCCACCUCACUAGAACGCUGCUUUUUAGAACCCUACCCACCUCACUAGAACGCUGCUUUUUAGAACCCUACCCACCACACUAGAAUGCUGCUUUUUAGAACCCUACCCACCUCACUAGAACCUGCUUUUUAGAACCCUACCCACCUCACUAGAACCUGCUUCAUGAUUCUCUGUAGUCGUCAGUAAACAAGUGUGUCUCUUCCUUGUCAACCCAGCAGAGCAGGGCUCAUGUUAACCUCACUUUGACCCACAGACGGACACAANNNNNNNNNNGGGGGAUGAUAUCAGUAGUGUUAUUGGGGAGGAUUGGGACGAUAUCAGUAGUGUUAUUGGGGAGGAUUGGGACGAUAUCAGUAGUGUUAUUGGGGAGGAUAGGGACAAUAUCAGGGGCUAAUAUGGAGGGUUCAGGGCU